rnacentral:rRNA from 1 species
CCUACGGGCGGCAGCAGUGGGGAAUAUUGGGCAAUGGGCGCAAGCCUGACCCAGCAACGCCGCGUGAAGGAAGAAGGCUUUCGGGUUGUAAACUUCUUUUAUCAGGGACGAAGCAAGUGACGGUACCUGAUGAAUAAGCCACGGCUAACUACGUGCCAGCAGCCGCGGUAAUACGUAGGUGGCAAGCGUUAUCCGGAUUUACUGGGUGUAAAGGGGGUGUAGGCGGGAGUGCAAGUCAGAUGUGAAAACUAGGGGCUCAACCCAUAGCCUGCAUUUGAAACUGUACUUCUUGAGUGCGGGAGAGGCAGUCGGAAUGCGGGGUGUAGCGGUGAAAUGCGUAGAUAUACGGAGGAACACCAGUGGCGAAGGCGGAUUGCUGGACAGGAACUGACGCUGAGGCGCGAAAGCGUGGGGAGCAAACAGGAUUAGAUACCCUAGUAGUC